GCGGGGCAGGCGGCGUGGACACGUACCAGGGGUGCCCCCCGGGCCGGGCAGAGGGCUCCACCCGCCCGCUCGACGGCCAGGCCGGCUCCCGAGGCCCGGCGGCCGGCUUGGGGACGCCCCCCCUUUGUCCGAGUAACGGCCCAGGGUGGGGCGGCGGCCGGCCGGAAGGAGGACGUCCCGGGCCGGGCUGCGCCGGGCCGAGGGAGGAGCCGCCCGGCGGCCGCGGGUCUGUGUGCCCGGUGGGCGGCCCGCGCGUGUGCGUACAUGUACAUGUGCGUUUCUAUUUACGCACGUACCGCGCUUGGCGUCAGCGGGCACAUCGAGGGUUGUGGGCAUGUGGUUUUAAGACUUUCAGUGUACUGUCCCUGCACUGUUUUUAUGCAGCAGAGGAAAGGCUGGUUUCUUAGGCCUCAGUUUCCACACCUGGACCUGGGGGGAGCCAGGUGAGUCAGCCUCUAAGGCCUAAAUGGCCAGGCCUCUGCCCCCUCCCCCCCUGCAGCCCCACCCAAAGGAAGCUCCCUGUUCCCCACCUCUCCAGCAGCCCUAAUCAACCCUGUUUGUCUCUUGGGUUGGAUGUGGUAAAACUUGCAAAACUGCAUUCAUGGCAGUUUGCUGGAGUCCCACUUGUACAUACAGGGCUCCCUCCCUGCCUGGGCUGGGCAGGCAGGUGUCCAGUGGGAAAUGGGCCCUGCCUGCAGGACUCUGAACCCAUCCUUCAGAGUCAGAGACCCAGGCUGUGUCUCUCAGCACAGAUUGAAUUGAAAAUAUAGCUUUGAAGAAUGCAGCAGCUGGGGAAAAACUGUCCACAGGAAUGUCAGGACCGCCCUGAAGACUGGGGAGCUUUAGUAGCCACUGGCAGCCCAGGGGUACAAGCACCUGUGCCCUUGAUUGUCAGUUUCACUGUCUGUAAAAUGGGGGCUACUUGGUUAUGAGCAAGUGGGCUGUGAAUCUCCAAGCCUCAGGCCUAGGCCUAGAAGUGAGGGGGUUCCUCAUGGUUAGCCCAUCCCCCUUUACAACCAGCCUCCACGGGUCACAUUCGUGUAUUUCUGGGUCACAUUCUCAGAUUCAGGUGUUAAUGGGAGCAGAGGCUGCAGAGGGAGGGGACCUCUGUCUAGCUGUGCAGAUGUUCUUAGUGGAGAACUCACGGUGGCCUGUGGGCUCCUGGGUUGGGGUUUGCAAAGUGAGCCUGGGCUGAGGGGCAUAGCUGAUGCUGCCAGGAAAAUGCUUGGAGACCCAGCCCCCAUACCUGAGUUCCCAUUCCAUUUGGGAACACCCAGAUACAGUGUCUCCAGGAAAUUCCCAAAAUAAUUCAUUUGAGUUUAAAAAAGAAAAAAAAAAAAGAAAAAACCCCAAGGGCAAGUCCUGGGACCCGGGCUCGGUUUCUGGGUGUGUUGGUAAGGGAAGACUACAAAGUCCACUGGGCAGCACAAGCUAGGGAGCAGGUCUACCAGGGAUGACUUCAGGUCCCAGCCAGGGACUUGGCAGUGCCUGGAGGACCCCUCACACACUUAAGGACCCCUCCCUUCCCUAGCACUUUCACAAGAACCACCAGCUCCCUUACUUCCCACAGGGACCUAAGGGAGGUGCAGUAAAUGCCAGCACCUCCCAUGAGGGCUCCCUGAAGCCACCCUGGAGUCCCUGCCACCCAUUUGGGGCAACCCAAGGGAUAUGCCUGGAAUCUCAGGCCAGGAUCCUAACUUCACUUCUGCCUUUUGUUAAUCUCAUGACCCCUAGCAAAGAAUUCCAUCCUCAGUUUCCCUAUCUGUAAAGCAAGUGAUUCCAGGCCAGCUUCUGUGGUAAUUGCCCCUUGCUUGAUGGAAUCCUGGUUGAAGAGGCAGCACCUUGCUUGGUGGGGUAAUGGUGUAGAGGGAGAAGGUAGGGUGUCAUGUGGCCAACAUGGAGUUGUCACGAGCUGUUGUUCCUGGCUGGCUUCAGUGCUAGGGCCACCCUCCUGCUCACCGCCUUGACAUUCCUAGGAAGGUUUGGGUGGGUGAGUAUAAAACCCAGACCCUCCCAUUUAAAUCCAGCUCCUCCCAACUGGAACAUGGUGGUUUGAAGAGGUCACUGUUGUUCAUCCUUGUGAUACAGAUGGAGACACUGAGGUCCAGACAGGGCAGAGCCAUGUGUUUAGCCAGAGGUGUAGUAGAGAGAGCCAAGAAGCAGGUCUCUUCCCUCAAGGCAUGAACUCAAGAUCUCCCUAAUUAAGAGGAAUAACAGACUCAGAAGAGUAGAGACUUGGGGCAGGGAUUUAGGUCAGUGGUUCCAGCGCCUGCCUCACAAGCGCAAGGUGCCGAGUUCAAUCCCCAGUACCAAAAAAAAAAAAAAAAAAA